CGCAGGCGCAUAUUGGCGGAAUCCCGCGGAGUCGUCGGCGCGGACCUUGCCCCGCUGUGGCUAGUCUAGUGGCGUCGCCGUGGAGUGGGUGAAAGCUGAAAACAUUGGUCAUCUUCGUCGCAGUCGGGCUGGCCGCUGCCGCGCCAUCGCAGCGCGAAAAGAGAUCUCCAAGUGGGAGUGGAUGGCAGAGCGGCGGCGGCGGCGGCGGCGGUAGCGGUUUUAGCGGCGGCUUCGGCGGUGGCAGUUUCGGGGGGGAUUUGGGUGGUCUACCGUCAGUCGGCGUCGCCCGUUCUUCUUUCGGCGGAGGCAACAGUGGUUGGGGUGGAUCUGGUGGACUGGGCAAAUCCAGCGGGUACAGCUCUGGUGGUUGGAGCGGAUCAGGUGCCAGUGGAAGGAGUGGCCUCGGUUCUGGGUGGGGAGGGGCGAGCUCCCGUAGUGGAGGAUAUGGAUCUGGAGGAUGGGGAGGCUCAGGUGCCGCAGAUACCAGAAACAGCGGUGGUGGGGUGGCGUGAGCGGACGCAGCGGCUUCGGCGGCAGCGGAUACGGUGGAGGCUGGAACUCGAAUUCCCUGGGACGGUCCACGGGAGGGUGGGAC
rnacentral:misc_RNA from 1 species